GACGAACGCUGGCGGCGUGCUUAACACAUGCAAGUCGAGCGGUAAGGCCCUUUCGGGGGUACACGAGCGGCGAACGGGUGAGUAACACGUGGGUGACCUGCCCUCAGCUCUGGGAUAAGCCUGGGAAACCGGGUCUAAUACCGGAUAUGACUCCAUGACGCAUGUUGUGGGGUGGAAAGCCUUGUGCGGCUGAGGAUGGGCCCGCGGCCUAUCAGCUUGUUGGUGGGGUGAUGGCCUACCAAGGCGACGACGGGUAGCCGGCCUGAGAGGGCGACCGGCCACACUGGGACUGAGACACGGCCCAGACUCCGUACGGGAGGCGAGCAGUGGGGGAAUCUUGCGCAAUGGGCGAAAGCCUGACGCAGCGACGCCGCGUGAGGGAUGACGG
rnacentral:rRNA from 1 species